rnacentral:rRNA from 1 species
AUGAUAGGGUGGGGGGACGUGUACAAGGUGGUGUCGGCCAUGGCGCCGCUCUACUUCGCCCUCGGCCUCGGCUACGCCUCCGUGCAGUGGUGGAAGUUCUUCACUCGCGACCAGUGCGACGCCGUGAACCGCCUCGUCAUCUACUUCGCGCUCCCCUUCUUCGCCUUCGACUUCAACGCUCACGCCGGCACGUUCGCCGCAGGGUACCGCGUCCUGGCCGCCGACGCCGUCGCCAAGCUCGUCGUCGUGCUCGCACUCGCCGGGUGGAUCGCGUACUGCCGCUGGCGGCAUUGGAUCCGUGCCCCCAAGGCACCACCCGCUAGCUCGGCCUCGGCGUGGCCGGGCGGCCCCUCCUGGUCGUGGUGCAUCACCGGCUACUCGCUGGGCACGCUGAACAACGGGCUCUUCGUGGGCGUGCCGCUGCUGGACGCCAUGUACGGCAAGUGGGCGCGCGACAUCGUCGUGCAGCUGUCGGUGCUGCAGGCCGUCGUGUGGCUCCCGCUGCUGCUGGUGGUGUCGGCGGGAACCCGAACGUGUACGCGAGCCUCCUUGGGGUUCUGUGGUCUUCCGUAG